rnacentral:rRNA from 1 species
UUAGAGUUUGAUCCUGGCUCAGGAUGAACGCUAGCGGCAGGCUUAAUACAUGCAAGUCGAACGGUAGCGGGUCCAGCAAUGGAUGCCGGCGAGUGGCGCACGGGUGCGUAACACGUAUGCAACCUACCUUUAACCGGGACAUAACCUCGAGAGAUCGUGGCUAAUAUUCCAUAAUAUCUUUGAAUCGCAUGGUUUGAAGAUCAAAAUUCCGAUGGUUUUAGAUGGGCAUGCGCGACAUUAGCUAGUUGGUGAGGUAAUGGCUCACCAAGGCUACGAUGUUUAGGGGGUCUGAGAGGAUGAUCCCCCACACUGGUACUGAGACACGGACCAGACUCCUACGGGAGGCAGCAGUAAGGAAUAUUGGGCAAUGGGCGCAAGCCUGACCCAGCCAUGCCGCGUGCAGGAUGACAGCCCUACGGGUUGUAAACUGCUUUUAUACGGGAAAAAACCCUCUGACGUGUCAGAGGCUGAUGGUACCGUAAGAAUAAGCAUCGGCUAACUCCGUGCCAGCAGCCGCGGUAAUACGGAGGAUGCAAGCGUUAUCCGGAUUUACUGGGCUUAAAGGGUGCGCAGGCGGAACGACAAGUCAGUGGUGAAAUCUCCUGGCUCAACCAGGAAACUGCCAUUGAUACUAUCGUUCUUGAGUCCAGUUGAAGUAGGCGGAAUGUAGCAUGUAGCGGUGAAAUGCUUAGAUAUGCUACAGAACACCGAUAGCGAAGGCAGCUUACUAAACUGAAACUGACGCUCAUGCACGAAAGCGUGGGGAUCAAACAGGAUUAGAUACCCUGGUAGUCCACGCCCUAAACGAUGAACAGUCGUUGUUGGCGGCUCUCUCCUCCGCGGCUGGGCGGGGGCGUUCUGUGGUCCCCCUGGGGCGGGCGGUCGCGCGGGUGGGGCUCCCCGGGGUUGUCGGGGGCCCGCCCCCGCGGCGGGGCGUGUGGUUUUUUUCGUUGGUUCGCGGGGGGCCUCCCCUGGGCUGGUGCGCGGGGCGGCGUUUCGGGGGGCCGGGGUUCUCUUCGGUGCGGUCUGCGCGGUGCUGCGUGGUUGUCGUCUGCUCGUGCCGUGGGGUGUCGGGUUGGGUCCCCUCCCGGGCGCGGCCCCCCUUCUUUGUUGCC